rnacentral:tRNA from 1 species
GGGAGAGCAUCUGCCUUACAAGCAGGAGGUCACAGGUUCGAUCCCUGUAUCCUCCA